rnacentral:rRNA from 1 species
ACGCAAUAGAUACCCCGGUAGUCCCAGCCGUAAACGAUGCAGACUCGGUGAUGGGUUGGCUUCGUGCUAAACCCAGUGCCGCAGGGAAGCCGUUAAGUCUGCCGCCUGGGUAGUACGGUCGCAAAGACUGAAACUUAAAGGAAUUGGCGGGGGAGCACCACAAGGGGUGAAGCCUGCGGUUCAAUUGGAGUCAACGCCGGGAAUCUUACCGGGGGCGACAGCAGAAUGAAGGUCAAGCUGAAGACUUUACCAGACAAGCUGAGAGGAGGUGCAUGGCCGUCGCCAGCUCGUGCCGUGAGGUGUCCUGUUAAGUCAGGUAACGAGCGAGACCCCUGCUUCUAGUUGCUACUUUUGUUCUCCGGAAUAGAAGGG